GACGAACGCUGGCGGCGUGCUUAACACAUGCAAGUCGAACGGAAAGGCCCUGCUUUUGUGUGGUGCUCGAUUGGCGAACGGGUGAGUAACACGUGAGUAACCUGCCCUUGUCUUUGGGAUAACUUCAGGAAACUGGGGCUAAUACCGGAUAGAAGCUCCUGCUGCAUGGGGUGGGUUGGUAAGUUUCGGCUGUUGGGGAUGGUCUGGCGGGUUAUCAGCUUGUUGGUGGGGUAGUGGCUUACCAAGGCUUUGACGGGUAGCCGGCCUGAGAGCGGGGACGGCGACAAUGGGACUGAGAUACGGCGCAGUAGCCAACGGGCGGCAACAGGGGGGAACAUUGCACAAUGGGCGGAAGUGUGAUGCGACAACGCCGCGUGCGUGAUGACGGGUUUCGGGUUGUAAACAGCUGUCGACUGUAACGAAGAGUGAGUGACGGUAAUGGGUAAAGAAGCACCGGCUAACUACGUG
rnacentral:rRNA from 1 species